rnacentral:sRNA from 1 species
GCCGGGCGUGGUGGUGCGCGCCUGUAAUCCCAGCUAUUUGGGAGGCUGAGGCGGGAGAAUUGUUUGAACCCAGGAGCGGAGGUUGCAGUGAGCCGAGAUCAUGCCAUUGCACUCCAGCCUGGGUGACAGAGUGAGACUCUGUCUCAA